UACGUAGGGUGCAAGCGUUAAUCGGAAUUACUGGGCGUAAAGCGUGCGCAGGCGGUUAUGCAAGACAGAUGUGAAAUCCCCGGGCUCAACCUGGGAACUGCAUUUGUGACUGCAUGGCUGGAGUGCGGCAGAGGGGGAUGGAAUUCCGCGUGUAGCAGUGAAAUGCGUAGAUAUGCGGAGGAACACCGAUGGCGAAGGCAAUCCCCUGGGCCUGCACUGACGCUCAUGCACGAAAGCAUGGGGAGCAAACAGG
rnacentral:rRNA from 1 species